AAAAAUUUAAUGGUCGAACAGACCAAAAUCUUGAGCUUCUGCACCCAAGCUAAUUUUUAAUCCAACAUCGAGGUCGCAAACUUUUUUAUCGAUAUGAGCUCUCCAAAAAAAUUACG
rnacentral:rRNA from 1 species